GACGAACGCUGGCGGCGUGCUUAACACAUGCAAGUCGAACGGAAAGGCCCUGCUUGCAGGGUCCUCGAGUGGCGAACGGGUGAGUAACACGUGGGUGAACCGCCCCGCUCUUCGGGGUAAGCCUGCGGAAAUGGGUCUAAUACCGCCUAGAGGCCAUUUUUAGUCAUCUUGUUGGAAAGAAAUUUCGGUGUAGGAUGAGCUCGCGGGCUAUCCGCUUGGUGGUGGGGGAAUGGCCUACCAAGGCGGCGACGGGGAGCCGGCCCGAGUGGGUGGACGGCCACAUUGGGACUGAGAUAAGGCCCAGACUCCGUCGGGAAGAAGGAGUGGGGAAUAUUGGACAAUGGGCGCAAGGCCGGUGCAACGAAGCCGGCGGGGGGAUGACUGACCUCCGGUUGGAAGCGCGUUUCGCUAGGGACGAAGCUUUUUGUGACGGUACCUAGAUAAGAAGCACCGGCUAACUACGUG
rnacentral:rRNA from 1 species